rnacentral:rRNA from 1 species
CAAUAGCGUAUAUUAAAGUUGUUGUGGUUAAAAAGCUCGUAGUUGGAUUUCUGCUGAGGACGACCGGUCCGCCCUCUGGGUGAGUAUCUGGCUCGGCCUUGGCAUCUUCUUGGGGAACGUAACUGCACUUGACUGUGUGGUGCGGUAUCCAGGACUUUUACUUUGAGGAAAUUAGAGUGUUUCAAGCAGGCGCACGCCUUGAAUACAUUAGCAUGGAAUAAUAAGAUAGGACCUUGGUUCUAUUUUGUUGGUUCUAGAGCUGAGGUAAUGAUUAAUAGGGACAAUUGGGGGCAUUCGUAUUAACGCGUCAGAGGUGAAAUUCUUGGAUUUAUGAAAGACUAACUACUGCGAAAGCAUUUGCCAAGGAUGUUUUCAUUAAUCAAGAACGAAAGUUAGGGGAUCGAAGACGAUCAGAU